GACGAACGCUGGCGGCGUGCUUAACACAUGCAAGUCGAACGGUGAAGGGGUCUGCUUUUGUGGGCCCUGGAUGAGUGGCGAACGGGUGAGUAACACGUGAGUAACCUGCCCCCUUCUUCUGGAUAACCGCAUGAAAGUGUGGCUAAUACGGGAUAUUCUGGGUCUGUCGCAUGAUGGGUCUGGGAAAGAUUGCGCCUUUGGGUGUUUUUGGUGGGGGAUGGGCUCGCGGCCUAUCAGCUUGUUGGUGGGGUGAUGGCCUACCAAGGCGGUGACGGGUAGCCGGCCUGAGAGGGUGGACGGCCACACUGGGACUGAGACACGGCCCAGACUCCUACGGGAGGCAGCAGUGGGGAAUAUUGCACAAUGGGCGCAAGCCUGAUGCAGCGACGCCGCGUGAGGGAUGGAGGCCUUCGGGUUGUAAACCUCUUUCGCCAGUGAAGCAGGCCUGCUCCUUGUGGGUGGGUUGACGGUAGCUGGAUAAGAAGCGCCGGCUAACUACGUG
rnacentral:rRNA from 1 species